GAUGAACGCUGGCGGCGUGCCUAAUACAUGCAAGUCGAGCGAACAGACGAGGAGCUUGCUCCUCUGACGUUAGCGGCGGACGGGUGAGUAACACGUGGAUAACCUACCUAUAAGACUGGGAUAACUUCGGGAAACCGGAGCUAAUACCGGAUAAUAUAUUGAACCGCAUGGUUCAAUAGUGAAAGACGGUUUUGCUGUCACUUAUAGAUGGAUCCGCGCCGCAUUAGCUAGUUGGUAAGGUAACGGCUUACCAAGGCAACGAUGCGUAGCCGACCUGAGAGGGAGGACGGCCAACAUGGAACGGAGCCACGUACUAGACGCGGCAGAGAGGAGGCAGAAGGGAGUGUUGGGAGAGGGGCGAAAGCAGAGCGGAGAAACGCGUGUGGAGGAAUGAAUGUGUAUGUAUCUGAGAACUCUGUUAUAAAGGAAGAACAAAUGGUAAAUAAACAAUGCACGACUUCACGGUCACAAAAAGGAAACCCACGACAAGGUACGGACAAGCACCCGGGGUAAUGUAACAGCACACUAGCAAC
rnacentral:rRNA from 1 species